rfam:Cyphomyrmex costatus contig10139, whole genome shotgun sequence.
AAAACGGCCUUUUAUAAGGCCACAUAAACUGUAAUAAAAAUCAGU